ensembl:lncRNA
CUGUGAACAUGCAGUGGAUGCAGUGAUCCUGCAGUGAUUGCAGUGCACCUGCAUUUCCUCAUCAGCUGGAAGCAGUGUUGCUGCAGUGGUUGCAGUCCCGCCAUCUGUCUCCCUGAAGGUGAAUGCAGUGCCAAUGCAGUGGAGGCAGUGUGCCUAAACGUGCAUGCAGUAUGUUGUGAUGGAGGAUGCAGUGCCCAUGAAGGUGGAUGCAGUGAUUCGGCAGUCAUUGCAGUGCACCCUGCUGUGUCCCUGUAUGUGGAUGCUGUGAACAUUCAGUGAAGCACUGAUCCUGCAGUGAUUGCAGUGCACCUUCACUUCCACAUAAGCUGGAGGCAGUGUCCCUGCAGUGGUUGCAGUGCCCCAUGCAUUGUCUGUGAAUGUCGAUGCAGUGCCAAUGCAGUGGGUGCAGAGAGCCUGCAGUGAUAGGAGUGCGCCAACAGUGCCACUUCCGCUGGAUGCAGUGUUGCUGUAGUUGUUGCACAGCCAAAUUCACUGUCCCUGAACGUAUAUGCAGUGCCCAUGCAGUGGAUGCAGUUUCCCACAAUGAGCAUGCAGUAUGUUGUGACUGAGGAGGCAGUGCCCAUGAAGGUGGAUGCAGUGAUCCUGCAGUAUUUUCCGUGUACACUGCAGUGUCCCUUAAUGUGGAUGAAGUGAACAAGCAGCGGAUGCACUGAACAUUCAGUGAUUUUAGUGCACCUGCAGUACAACUUCAGCUGAAUGCAGUGUUGCUGCAGUGGUUGCAGAGCCCACUGCAGUGUCUUUGAAUGUGGCAGCAGCCUCUUCAGUGUGACCCAAGUUGGAUGCAGUAUAUUGUGAAGUACGAUGCAGUACCCAUGAAGGAGGAUGCAGUGAUCCAGCAUUCAUUGCAGUGCACCUGCAGUGUCAAUUCAUCAGGAUGCAGUGUCCCUGAAUGUGGAUUCAGUGGUCAUGCAGUGAUGACGUAUGUUGUCAUGGAGGAUGCAGUGCCCAUGAAGGCAGAUGCAGUGAUCCUGCAGUGAUUGCAGUGCAUCUGCAGUGCCACUUCAGGUGGAUCCAGUGUCCCUGCAGUGGUUGCCGUGCCUGUUGCACUGUUCCUGAAUGUGGCUGCAGUGCACAUGCAAUGGCUACAGUGUCACUGAAGGUAUAUGCAGCAUAUUGUGUUGGAGGAAGCAGUGGCCAUGAAGGUGAAUGCAGUGAUCCUGCAGUGGUUGCAGUGCCCCAUGCAGGGUCCCUGAAUGAGAAUGCCGUGCCCUUCCAGUGGAUUGAGUGCCCCACAUGGUGGAUGUAGUAUGUUAUGACGCAUGAUGCAUUGCCCAUGAUGCUGCAUGCAGCGUUACUGCACUGGUUUUCUUGCCCCCUUCUAUGUCCCUGAUUGUGGAUGCAGUGCCCAUGCAGUGGAUGCAGUGUCAAACAAGGCAGAUGCAGUAAGGUGUAAAGGAGGAUGCAGUGCCCAUGAAGGUGGAUGCGGUUAUCCUGCAGUUGUUGCAGUGCCCCCUUCAGGUUCCCUGAAUGUGGAUGCAGUGCCCAUGCAGUGGAUGCAGUGUUGCACAAGGUGGAUGCAGUAUGUUGUGACGGAAGAUGCAGUGCCCACGACUGUGAAUGCAGUGAGACUGCAGUGAUUGAAGUGCGCCUGCAGUGCCACUUCAACUCUAUACAGUGUCUGUGCAGUGGUUGAAGUGCCUGUUGCCCUGUGGCUGAACGUGGCUGCAGUUCCCAUGCAAUGGCUGCAGUGUCACUCAAGGUAGAUGCAGUAUGUUGUGACAGAGGAUGCAAUGCCCAUGAAGGUGGAUGCGGUGAUCCUGCAGUGGUUUCCGUGCACACUGCAGUGUCCCUGAAUGUGGAUGCAGUGAACAUGAAGUGGAUGCAGUGAACAUUCAGUUAUCGCGGUGCACCUGCAGUUCCACUUCAGCUGCAUACACUGUCCCUGCAGUCGUUGCGGUGCUGCCUGCAUUGUCUGGGAAUGUGGAUGCAGUGCCCCGGCAGUGUAUGCAGUGUCACAGAAGUUGGAUGCAGUAUGUUGUGACAUAGGAUGCAGUGCCCAUGAAGGUGGAUGCAGUGAUCCUUCACUGGUUUCCAUGUACACCGCAGUGUCCCUGAAUGUGGAUGCAGUGAACAAGCAGUGGAUGCACUGAACUUUCAGUGAUUGCAGUGCACCUGCAGUGCCACUUCAGCUGAAUGCAGUGUUGCUGCAGUGUUUGCAGAGCCCACUGCAGUGUCUCUGAAUGUGGAUGCAGGGCCCACGCAGCCUCUGCAGUGUGACCCAAGGUGGAUGCAGUAUGCUGUGAAGUAGGAUGCAGGACCCCUGAAGGAGGAUGCAGUGAUCCUGCAUUCAUUGCAGUGCAUCUGCACUGUCAAUGCAUCUGAAUGCAGUGUCCCUAAUAUGGAUUCAGUGCUCAUGCAGUGAUGAUGAAUGUUGUGAUGGAGGAUGCAGUGCCCAUGAAGGCAGAUGCAGUGAUCAUUCG